GGAGAGGGAAGGAGAGGGAGAGGGAGACCGAGAGCGAGCGAGCGGGGAAAGCAACAACUGAGGAGAAAGUGAGCACAAAACAGAAAGUGAAAUCACCCCCGGCUGCCAGCCGCAUCCCCGAGAAGCUAUCACCACUCACAUUGCUAUUAGACAAAUGAAACCUUAAACCUCUCUGCUCUAAUGACCACUGAUUGCCCGGAGUGGUGAGGAAAGGCUAAAGAUAGCCACAGAAGCCAGCGCAGCCAGAUGUUGAGGAGGGAUGCUGAACUGCUGUGGGUCCUUGCAGAGGGAAGGAAUCAGAGGCUCUCAGUUCACGUUGGAGCACUUACCUGUUCACAGCCGUCACUGCAUUUUGCGCUCUCUUCGUAAAUACAUUAACGUAAAGCAAUGUUCAAUAAGCAAUGCAACCUGUGUGCUAACUUUCACACACCGCAGCUUUAAGAUGAGCAAAUCUGCAACUCCGGCAGAGUUGGUAGAACAGUCUCUGAAGUUUUGAUUCAAAGAGCAAGAAACUCCACGUUACAAGUCAUUCACACAUUCACAAGCUAUUCUCCCCAAUUAAUGCCGAACAAUUAACAAGCAUCUUUAUAAAUUCACUCUGCUGACACUCUCCGACAAUGAAGACUUUUUAUAGGCUUGUUGAAAAUGUUCAGAGAAAUUUUGUAAAAUAAUCAACUGCAUUUAAGAGAAAGCUAAAGGAAAAGAAGUUAAAGCCUGAUCACACGAUUGGAAAAAAGUUUGGUUAGACUAGAUAAAAGCAGAUUACUGCACAUUUCUUCACAAUCAAACCCAUCAGCUGAUGCGUGUUCCCCUAGAACAGGAACCUCUAGAGAUUUUCUCAAAAUUUAGGGGACGUUUGCAUUUUAUUACACCCAAAGCAAAAGAUCUGACUGAAAACAAAAACUCUGAAUUCCUUAAGACGUCAUCUGUUAACACAAUGUAUUGUCCUGGCGGAAACAGUAUCAAAUAAAAGGUUUUAAUUUCAUUUGAAACUGUAUAUCAUCUUGAUAGAGAAGCAAAAAGCCGCAGCAACAACAAUCUCCCCACUCCACCCCCCCGUUCCAAAAAAAAAAAAAAAAAAAAAAAGGAAAAACCACAUAAACUUUUACAAAGAAAAUAAAAGCAAGUUUGACAUGAAAACCCCUUCCUGUCUCGGAAAGUUCAUUUUAAAGGUCCCCUCUGUAAAUCUAAAGUGCAAACACCAGGCUAAGGUAGUGAGUGGCUGGAAUUUGCAUGCUGAUAAGAGAAGGCUGUUGUACUUACAGUGACAGAGGGCAGGCUGCGGAAGAAAAGCUGUUUGUGUUAGCCUGAGAGUCACCCAGGGCUGCAAUGAGAGCAGAAGAGAGGAGUGGGAGUGCCAAGCUGGAUACACCUUCACCGCAUCUCAUCACAUCUGCCAGCCUCUCUCUCCCUCUCUCUUUCAUUUCCACAUUCCCUUUGUUCCUGAAAAAAAAAUCUACACGUCACAUCAGUCCCCAGAUGCAGUCUACACCAAAGAAAAAAAUGAAUAAUUCAAUCAAACUGUGCAUAGUCUCUAAGGCAAUAAAUCUAUUGCACUUAAAGAAACGAAGGGUAAUUACCACUAUAGAAUUAGAAUAAGGCCAGAGAGCGCAGGGAUCCCAGGGUCUGUAAACUCCACGGUCAAAUAAAGUUUCAUUUAUUUAAUCCUUUGACAACCCCAGUGUAAACUAAAGGGGAGGAUCAGAACUUAUUCCGUGUGGGUUUGAGAAUGCUUGAAGUGAAUGUUAUAAAAGCAGAGCGCCCGUGAUCUCUAAUAAACACAAUGCAAGGAAGUAGAAGUGUUUCACUGCAUCACCUCCAGGGUCCGAUCCCCCCUCCCUAAUGAAGAGCAGACCACACUCCCACUUCCACCGGCUUCUGCCGCUCUCUACAAGUGCAACGGGAAUCGCUGGCAGCGAGCAGCAGCCUUACCUGCUCCUAGAUUUCAAAUAAAGCCUUACAAAAACUCAUGGUAACCGGCAAUUUUGUUCCACGCUCUGGCGGAGAGAAACCAUGGGGAAUUUGCACCAGCAAGGAGUGAAUAGGAACGUUGUCCCUGACUUCUGGAUUUGUCCUGGGCUGAGUUUAGGGGAAUGCCUGCCGGGGGCGGGGGGAACACGCUCGGGAGCGGAGCCCAGGCAGGCAGGCGGCAGCAACGCUGUAACAGAGCCCUGCGACGCACCGACCUAGGUAGCAUAGAGAAGAGCCACAGUUUUCCCUCUCCUACCUCUAACGUUGCACUGCCGGCUCGGAGGGUGGCGAAAAAGAGAAAAUUGCAAAGACUUACCGGGUGGCAGGAAGUGGGAUUCACUAUAAUCAACAGCAGCAGGGGACUCUUUGAGGUUGUGUUGCAAGAUACAUUCAAGAUUUUAGCAGAAAGAAAAUAAUUGCAUUUAAUAUUGUGCUGGUGGGAAAUAACAUAUGUACAAUCUUUUCCAGCUUUUAGACUUACAUUCAGAUUUAGACUCUUGCCCUUAAGAUGCAGAGAUACUGCUCCUUAAGAUCUGGAGACAUUAUUUUUUUUAGCACACUUAAGCAGAGGAUGUCCUGUUACUAGUAAGCUAGAGUUUUGUGCUAUUUGCAAAUUUUACUUCAAAAAUUUACCAAGGUUUCAUGAACAUACUCACUGGACAAGCUGGAUAAAGAGCUCUGUGUUCUGUAACCAAGCUAUUAUCAAAACAUAAGUAAGUUUCUGGCACUAUUUUGUUCUAGAUUUUAUAUGAAAAAUUCAGAAAUUAUAGGUUUUUGCAGAUGUUUGCUAAAAAUGUUUUUCUAGGUCAAACCACUACACUCCUCAUACAGUUAAAACUUCUUUAAAAUUGAUGUAGUUCUGUCUGAGUAAAGACUGACCUGCUAGGCUGAGGGAAUAAUUGAAGGCUGUUAUUAUGAAAAAGUUGCAGGUCAUAUAAAGGUUUUCUGCACUUAGGAGGAAUGAAAAUUUGUGCA